UACGUAGGGUGCAAGCGUUAAUCGGAAUUACUGGGCGUAAAGCGUGCGCAGGCGGUUUUGUAAGUCUGUCGUGAAAUCCCCCGGGCUCAACCUGGGAAUUGCGAUGGAGACUGCAAGGCUAGAAUCUGGCAGAGGGGGGUAGAAUUCCCACGUGUAGCAGUGAAAUGCGUAGAGAUGUGGGAGGAACACCGAUGGCGAAGGCAGCCCCCUGGGUCAAGAUUGACGCUCAUGCACGAAAGCGUGGGGAGCAAACAGG
rnacentral:rRNA from 1 species